rnacentral:rRNA from 1 species
GAUGAACGCUGGCGGCGUGCCUAAUACAUGCAAGUCGAGCGAACAGACGAGGAGCUUGCUCCUCUGACGUUAGCGGCGGACGGGUGAGUAACACGUGGAUAACCUACCUAUAAGACUGGGAUAACUUCGGGAAACCGGAGCUAAUACCGGAUAAUAUAUUGAACCGCAUGGUUCAAUAGUGAAAGACGGUUUUGCUGUCACUUAUAGAUGGAUCCGCGCCGCAUUAGCUAGUUGGUAAGGUAACGGCUUACCAAGGCAACGAUGUGUAGCCGACCUGAGAGGGUGAUCGGCCACAGUGGAACUGAGACACGGUCCAGACUCCUACGGGAGGCAGCAGUAGGGAAUCUUCCGCAAUGGGCGAAAGCCUGACGGAGCAACGCCGCGUGAGUGAUGAAGGGCUGCGGAUCGUAAAACUCUGUUAUGAGGGAAGAACAAAUGUGUAAGUAACUAUGCACGUCUUGACGGUACCUAAUCAGAAAGCCACGGCUAACUACGU